UGGGGAAUAUUGCACAAUGGGGGAAACCCUGAUGCAGCGACGCCGCGUGAGUGAAGAAGUAUUUCGGUAUGUAAAGCUCUAUCAGCAGGGAAGAAAUAGCGACCUUUGGGUCGCCAGACGGUACCUGAUUAAGAAGCCCCGGCUAACUACGUGCCAGCAGCCGCGGUAAUACGUAGGGGGCAAGCGUUAUCCGGAUUUACUGGGUGUAAAGGGAGCGUAGACGGCAGCACAAGUCUGAAGUGAAAUGCCGGGGCUUAACCCCGGAACUGCUUUGGAAACUGUGCAGCUAGAGUGCAGGAGAGGUAAGUGGAAUUCCUAGUGUAGCGGUGAAAUGCGUAGAUAUUAGGAGGAACACCAGUGGCGAAGGCGGCUUACUGGACUGUAACUGACGUUGAGGCUCGAAAGCGUGGGGAGCAAACAGG
rnacentral:rRNA from 1 species